AUUUUGAUAGCAGGUCCAUGGCUGAUCAUGAUUAGUAUGAUUGGAACAUGA
rnacentral:lncRNA from 1 species